AGAGUGCCUGCAGCAUCUUCCACAAACGGGGCUGGAGAUGCCAGUCACAAGUUUAAAGAAGAUCACACAGUGCCUGGGCCGUCUUCUGCUGGACAACAUGGACAGCAUGUUGGACAAGACUCCUCUGGUCAAGGGGAAUUACAACAGGCCCCAUCAGACAAGGAGGGGAUCCAAA
rnacentral:lncRNA from 1 species